rnacentral:rRNA from 1 species
GAUGAACGCUGGCGGCGUGCCUAAUACAUGCAAGUCGAGCGCACGGACGAGAAGCUUGCUUCUCUGGUGUUAGCGGCGGACGGGUGAGUAACACGUGGAUAACCUACCUAUAAGACUGGGAUAACUUUGGGAAACGUGAGCUAAUACCGGAUGAUAUUUUGAACCACAUGGUUUAAAAGUGAAAGACGGACUUGCUGUCCCUUAUGGUUAGAUCCGCGCUGCAUUGGCUAGUGGGUAAGGUAACGGCUGACCAAGGCAAGGAUGCAUAGCCGACCUGAGAGGGGGAUCGGCCACACUGGAACUGAAACACGGUCAAGACUCCUACGGGAGGCGGCAUAAGGGAAUCUUCGGCAAUGGGCGAAAGCAUGACGGAGCAACGCCGCGUGAUUGAUGAAGGUCUUCGGAUCGUAAAACUCUGUUAUUAGGGAAGAACAUAUGUUUAAUUAACUGUGCACAUAUUGACGGUACCUAAUCAGAAAGCCACGGCUAACUACGUG